rnacentral:ncRNA from 1 species
AGGUGGCUGAUGGUGCUUUCCAGCGGUUUGAUCAGCAGGCUGUUAUCUUUGAGCGUCACGCCGCCGGUGGCACGAACCAGUUCGCCGUCGAGCGGAAUAUCCAGAUGUAAGCGACCAUUCACUUCGCCGCUGAUCUGCAGCUCCUGCAAAGCGCUGCCGAGCGUGUCGUGCAGCGGCGUGUUCAUGAAAUAAUCACCGAUAUCUUUGCCGGAACCGCGCAGAUCAGAAUCGACAAACAGCUUUUCUUUCAGGUAAUCCGGGAUAUUGGCGACUACGUUGUUGCCAUCUACGUUGCCCAAUUUCGUGUGCGCGGCUUUCAUGAACAAACCGUCGUUCAGAAAAUCGAGAUCGAUAUCCAGAUCGGUCAGCGCGGGCCAUUCAGGCUGGAACUGGAAGGUCGAGUGGCGCAACGGCACC